GCGUCUCCGUUGAUGAUUUUAGGUGCUUGCACUUGAAAGAUUUAACAUUGAGACGAGUGGCGAACUGGUGAGUAACACGUGGGUAACCUGCCCUUGAAGUAGGGGAUAACACUUGGAAACAGGUGCUAAUACCGUAUAACAACCAAAACCACCUGGUUUUGGUUUAAAAGACGGCUUCGGCUGUCACUUUAGGAUGGACCCGCGGCGCAUUAGCUUGUUGGUAAGGUAACGGCUUACCAAGGCGAUGAUACGUGGCCGACCUGAGAGGGUAAUCGGCCACAUUGGGACUGAGACACGGCCCAAACUCCUACGGGAGGCAGCAGUAGGGAAUCUUCCACAAUGGACGAAAGUCUGAUGGAGCAACGCCGCGUGAGUGAUGAAGGGUUUCGGCUCGUAAAACUCUGUUGUUGGAGAAGAACAGGUGUCAGAGUAACUGUUGACAUCUUGACGGUAUCCAACCAGAAAGCCACGGCUAACUACGUGCCAGCAGCCGCGGUAAUACGUAGGUGGCAAGCGUUGUCCGGAUUUAUUGGGCGUAAAGCGAGCGCAGGCGGUUUUUUAGGUCUGAUGUGAAAGCCUUCGGCUUAACCGGAGAAGUGCAUCGGAAACCGGGAGACUUGAGUGCAGAAGAGGACAGAGGAACUCCAUGUGUAGCGGUGAAAUGCGUAGAUAUAUGGAAGAACACCAGUGGUGAAGGCGGCUGUCUGGUCUGUAACUGACGCUGAGGCUCGAAAGCAUGGGUAGCGAACAGGAUUAGAUACCCUGGUAGUCCAUGCCGUAAACGAUGAGUGCUAAGUGUUGGAGGGUUUCCGCCCUUCAGUGCUGCAGCUAACGCAUUAAGCACU
rnacentral:rRNA from 1 species